UACGUAGGGUGCGAGCGUUUAAUCGGAAUUACUGGGCGUAAAGCGUGCGCAGGCGGUGAUGUAAGACAGUUGUGAAAUCCCCGGGCUCAGCCUGGGAAUUGCAUCUGUGACUGCAUCGCUAGAGUACGGUAGAGGGGGAUGGAAUUCCGCGUGUAGCAGUGAAAUGCGUAGAUAUGCGGAGGAACACCGAUGGCGAAGGCAAUCCCCUGGACCUGUACUGACGCUCAUGCACGAAAGCGUGGGGAGCAAACAGG
rnacentral:rRNA from 1 species